GAGAUUGUGGAAUGACUCCAUUUGAAGGAGGAAUGCCAAGAAGACCGCAUAUAAUGACCAAGAAGCCCAAAAGAAGGAGGUCGUAAUGAUAUGAGGAAGGUUUCUUUAGAUUGAACUCUUUCUGUUGGGAAAGUUGAGAUGCAACACUGUGAUCGAAAUAGUAAAGGACAGCAAUCAUUGUGGCUGGGAUAAACGCUCCGACAAUAUAUAGAGGAGGAACAUGCAUCAUUUCCUUGAUAACCGUCCAAUUUGAGUAAGCUCCAGGUGACCAUGGAUUGGGGCUGAAAAGCCUCCGUGGUAUCCCUUGUGGAACAUCACGUGCUGGUAUGUAAGAAACAGCCGUCCAAACAAGCACCAUUAGUGGGACACCAUAGUCAGCAAUAAAUCCUCGAAACCAGCCUGUUCCAUAACGCCAGGAUCUAGCUUUACGGCUCCUCAGUGCGGUAAGAAGAAGCCCGAAAGAUAAAACUAGUGCAAACAUUCCAUUUCCAAAGCGCCAAGAAGGUGAUAAUGCAGCCUGACGAGGAUUUUCUCUCUGAGGUAUGCCAAACUCCUCCACCAACCCCUUAAUAGCCUCUUGCAUAAAGAGCAUUGCUAUGAGCAUGCCGAAUAAUUCACCAGCCAGACGUGUAAAUCUGUUUAUUAUGGAGCACGCCCCCAGAACGGCUAGCAAGAAAAGCAGAAAGGCGGUCCAAACACAAACCCAUCCU
rnacentral:misc_RNA from 1 species